AUGCGUGAAGAAAAUGUUAUCCCAGUAUCUGUCGAAGAGCAUCUGAAGGUCUCGGCAAGGACUAGUGCAUGUCAUCUGUUGGCUUGCACUUCACUUGUUGGAAUGGAUGAUAUAGCAACAAAGUCUUCUUUUGAAUGGGUUUCAACUGUACCUAAAAUUGUGCAAAAGCUUUGCAUAAUUGUCAGACUAUUAGAUGAUAUCAUGACCUAUGAGCGAGAACAUAUGACACCUCAUGUUGCUUCGACAUUGGACAGCUACAUGAAACAACACCAUGUCACUAUGAAAAUAGCAUGUCAGAAGAUACAAGAGCUAAAGGAGGAAUCACAGAAAGAUUUCAAUGCCGAGUGGCUAGAGUGUGAUGGUGGCCAGCCGAGGAAGUUGAUUGAGGCGAUAUUCAACCUCACGAGAACAAUGGAGUUCAUGUAUAACAAAGAUGACAACUUUACCAACUGUCGCAACCUUGAGGGUACCAUUCGAUCAUAA
rnacentral:rRNA from 1 species